rnacentral:pre_miRNA from 1 species
UUUUUAGUAUAAGUAUAUCCCAUGCAAUAUUUGGGACAUACUUUCAUUUUAAAA